rnacentral:rRNA from 1 species
UACAGAGGUCCCAAACGUUGUUCGGAUUCACUGGGCGUAAAGGGUGCGUAGGCGGUCGGGUAAGUCUGAUGUGAAAUCUCACAGCUUAACUGUGAAACUGCAUUGGAUACUAUCCGGCUCGAGGAAUGGAGGGGAGACUGGAAUACUUGGUGUAGCAGUGAAAUGCGUAGAUAUCAAGUGGAACACCAGUGGCGAAGGCGAGUCUCUGGACAUUUCCUGACGCUGAGGCACGAAAGCCAGGGGAGCAAACGGG